rnacentral:tRNA from 1 species
GGGCUCGUGGUCUAGCAGUAUGACGUCACCCUCACACGGUGAAGAUCAAGGGUGCGAUUCCCUUCGAGCCCA